rnacentral:misc_RNA from 1 species
GGUUCUUAUGUCCUUUUACAUGGCUAGAGUGAAGUGUCUUUUUGUACCUGAGUGGGAUUUGAUUCUUUAGCAGGGUCCUUUUCAAUGAAAUUCUGAAAUUGAUUGUUAUUUUUAUGGUCUUUCUUAAAUAACUAGAAAGUCAUUUUUCUUUUCCGGCUACACUCAUAGUUAAUUAGCUUAUACUUAAUAUUACCAUGUUCACCUGACUUCAAAUUGUAAAAGAAAAAGCACUCCAUUAAUAUGUGUUUGAAUAAGUCCACUAUGCCUGGAUUCUUCAAAAAC